CCUCUUUUCUCAAGGAAGAAGUUCUGACGGUACUUGAGGAAUAAGCAUCGGCUAACUCUGUGCCAGCAGCCGCGGUAAUACAGAGGAUGCAAGCGUUAUCCGGAAUCACUGGGCAUAAAGCGUCUGUAGGUUGCUUAUCAAGUCUGCUGUUAAAGACCAGGGCCUAACCCUGGGAAAGCAGUGGAAACUAGUAGGCUUGAGUGUGGUAGAGGUAGAGGGAAUUCCUGGUGUAGCGGUGAAAUGCGUAGAUAUUAGGAAGAACACCAAUGGCGAAAGCACUCUACUGGGCCAUAACUGACACUGAGAGACGACAGCUAGGGGAGCAAAUGGGAUUAGAUACCCCAGUAGUCCUAGCCGUAAACGAUGGAUACUA
rnacentral:rRNA from 1 species